GAGGAUAUAGCUCAGUGGUAGAGUGCAUGCUUAGCAUGCACAAGGUCCUGGAUUCAAUCUCUAGUACUUUCA
rnacentral:tRNA from 1 species